rnacentral:tRNA from 1 species
AAGAGUUUAGUUUAAAUUAAAAUAUAUAACUGUAAAUUAUAGGAUUCCUUUUUCUCUUGAUGUUAAUUUUA